rnacentral:rRNA from 1 species
UGACUNGAGUGCAGAAGGGGAGAGUGGAAUUCCAUGUGUAGCGGUGAAAUGCGUAGAUAUAUGGAGGAACACCAGUGGCGAAAGCGGCUCUCUGGUCUGUCACUGACGCUGAGGCUNGAAAGCGUGGGUAGCGAACAGGAUUAGAUGCCCUGGUAGUNCACGCCGUAAACGAUGAGUGCUAGGUGUUAGGCCCUUUCCGGGGCUUAGUGCCGGAGCUAACGCAAUAAGCACUCCGCCUGGGGAGUACGACCGCAAGGUUGAAACUCAAAGGAAUUGACGGGGGCCCGCACAAGCGGUGGAGCAUGUGGUUUAAUUCGAAGCAACGCGAAGAACCUUACCAGGUCUUGACAUCCCGAUGCUAUUCUUAGAGAUAGGAAGUUACUUUGGUACAUCGGAGACAGGUGGUGCAUGGUUGUCGUCAGCUCGUGUCGUGAGAUGUUGGGUUAAGUCCCGCAACGAGCGCAACCCUUAUUGUUAGUUGCCAUCAUUAAGUUGGGCACUCUAGCGAGACUGCCGGUAAUAAACCGGAGGAAGGUGGGGAUGACGUCAAAUCAUCAUGCCCCUUAUGACCUGGGCUACACACGUGCUACAAUGGUCGGAACAACGAGUUGCGAGCCGGUGACGGCAAGCUAAUCUCUGAAAGCCGAUCUCAGUUCGGAUUGGAGGCUGCAACUCGCCUCCAUGAAGUCGGAAUCGCUAGUAAUCGCGGAUCAGCACGCCGCGGUGAAUACGUUCCCGGGCCUUGUACACACCGCCCGUCACACCACGAGAGUUUGUAACACCCGAAGUCGGUGAGGUAACCUUUUAGGGGCCAGCCGCCU